rnacentral:tRNA from 1 species
UCACUGCGCGGUCUGGUGGACCAAGUCGCGGCGUUGACGCUGCCGCCGGUCCGGCGCGACGACGGCCCGGCGUCCGAGGCGGUCGCGGUGCUC